GAAAGCAAACAUUCACAAGGGGUUAAUGUUUUUGAACACCCCAUUUUUUAUGAUAUUUGAUAUAAACGAAGCCUAAAAAUCUAUUGUACAUUACAAAAUGUACCAAAAGCUACUAAAUAGGACUGGUGAAUGUUUGAUUAUAUCACGUUUCAUCAAUGUUGCAAACAUUAGGAAGAAGUUUAGCAAAAUGUUCCAUAAUUCCUGGGAGACUAGUCAUUUUGGUGAGAGUUUUUGCUGACAGGUGUGAGAGGAGACGGCCCAGAGUCAAAAACAUUAG
ensembl:lncRNA